UACGUAGGGUGCAAGCGUUGUCCGGAAUUAUUGGGCGUAAAGAGCUCGUAGGCGGUUUGUUGCAUCGGCUGUGAAAAUCCCGAGGCUCAACCUCGGGUCUGCAGUCGAUACGAGCAAACUAGAGUGUUGCAGGGGAGACUGGAAUUCCUGGUGUAGCGGUGGAAUGCGCAGAUAUCAGGAGGAACACCGAUGGCGAAGGCAGGUCUCUGGGCCAUUACUGACACUGAGAAGCGGAAAGCAUGGGGAGCGAACAGG
rnacentral:rRNA from 1 species